rnacentral:lncRNA from 1 species
CAGGAACCGUUUUCCCGUUAUUGAUUCAGACAGUGCCCAAACUGUACACAGGCCAAUGCAGGUUUCAGGAAUCCAGCUGGUCAAUGCAGGGUGGAGGGCACGAGGGGUGGGCGCCCGAGGAACCGUAGGAGACGUGGCACGGGGAGAGAGGGGAGGUCUGUUGGAAGACGCCCAGGGACUGGUCCGGCUCUCUCCUGGAAAGUGGGCACUUUGGGUAGCGGUGAUUCGGAGAGGUAUUGGGACCGUGGUGAGUAAGGAGGGAGGGAAACAGAGAAAGGCCACAGGAGAAGGUGAAACAGGGAGAGAUUGGCCACGCCCCGUCCCUCCCUGCCCUCGCCCCUCCCCCAUUCAGAAAUCCCGCUUCUCCUUGAGAACUCAGACACCAGUUUCCCCAGAAAGGCCUCCUGCAUCUCUGUGGCUGCCACUCGCUCCUGUUUUGGCUGUGUCCCCUAGCCCUUUGCUCGCUUUCGUCCAGUCUUGGCCCCUCUGGCUCUGAUUCUGCUCAGCUGCUUGCGUGCCUGUCUCAAGCCCGAUGAAACUUACAUUCCUCAGGGGCGUGAACCGUGCCUUGUUGUCUUGAGUUCCCUCAGCUCCAGUCUCAGUGUGACUCAUACAGAGAAACAAUAUUGGCCGGGAGUCAGUUAUUCCAGGGAUGCAGUAAGAAGUAAAUAUGUGUUGUACAGAGUGGACACCAGAGCGCAUUAACUGGGGAGGAGCAAGUCCCAAGAGGAACAGUGAAAACAAGACUCUGGCUCCAACCACUUAGCAUCUCACACAGUGAAGGAGAAUGGUUGCCAUCCAGUUGGCCACCAGAGGGCGCUCUGGGCAAAAAGAUCUUGAGGCCGUUCUUCAGCUCUUCGACUUGAUCGCCUCGCAAACUCUGGAGUCAGUGCUGUUUCCCAGAGACAGCAGACGUAAGUGCCAUGCAGCUUGCCAGGCUCUCAGGGCAUGGGCGUUUACAGUCGGCUGGCAUUUCCCAUGGGGGAGCAGAGGCAAGAAAAUCGCCCAGUUGAUGGCCAGUUGUUUGUGGGAUGAAGGGUAAGACUGGAUAAGGCCUUGAGGUUAGGGCAAAGGUAUCAUGAGUCCUGAGCUGGUCUCUGCUUUCCUGACUUCUGGAAGUGUGACAUUAAGAAAAUCAUUCCUUCUCUGGGCCUGGUUUCCCUCUGUAAAAUGCUGGGCUCAAGUUCCAGCCUGUCCUGGGACGUCAUCAGCUCUUCCAACCCUUCUGGGCGGUGGCCAUGAAAUUUAGUCCACAUGGAAGCUUAGUUCCCUGCUUUCUGCCUCUGGGAGAGAACUGCAGUCAUGGAGACCGGUGCUUGCCACAGUAGGAGCUGCUAACGUCCUGGAUGGUCCCCAUACUCUUCCUGAGCUGCCCCAGGCACAACCAGAGGAGGAGACAUUCGCAAAAGCCAGCGCAGCCUGGGCCAUCAUUCAGAAUCUAAUCAUGAGAAAAAUGUCAGAUAAACUCCUGUCAAGAGGCAUCCUACAGUACAUCUGAUCAAUACUGUUGAAAACUGUCAGGGUCAUCAAAAACAAGGAAAGUCUGAGACUGUCGCAGCCGAGAGGAGCCCAAGGAGACAUGAUGACUAAAUGCAAUGUGGUAUCCUGGAUGGGAUCCUAGAACAGAAAAAGGACAUUAGGUAAAAACUAAGGAAAUCUGAAGAAAGCAUGGACUUCAGCUAACAUUAAUGUAUCAAUAUUGGUUCAUUAACUGUAACAAACAUGCCACAGUAGGGUAAGAUGUUAGCCAUACAGGAAAAUGGGUACCGGGUAUAUGGGAACCCUCUGUACUAGCUUCUCCAUUUUUCUGUAAGUCUAAAACUUUUCUGAAAAAUAAAGCCUAUUUAAAAAAAAAUCAAAGUGAUAUGGGCUAUAGGCCAGAUGUCAAUCCAAUCCUAUGAAAGUACACAGGAAGAAUAUCAUUGACACUGAUUUGCCUUCUUAAUAGCAAG